GACGAACGCUGGCGGCGUGCUUAACACAUGCAAGUCGAACGGAAAGGCCCUGCUUUUGUGGGGUGCUCGUGUGGCGAACGGGUGUGUAACACGUGAGUAACCUGCCCUUGACUUUGGGAUAACUUCAGGAAACUGGGGCUAAUAUCGGAUAGGAGCUCCUGCUGCAUGGUGGGGGUUGGAAAGUUUCGGCGGUUGGGGCUGGACUCGCGGCUUAUCAGCUUGUUGGUGGGGUAGUGGCUUACCAAGUCUUUGACGGGUAGCCGGCCUGAGAGGGUUACCGGCCACAUUGGGACUGAGAUACGGCCCAGACUCCUACGGGAGGCAGCAGUGGGGAAUAUUGCAGAAUGGGUGGAAGCCUGAUGCAGCAACGCCGCGUGCGGGAUGACGGCCUUCGGGUUGUAAACCGCUUUCGCCUGUGACGAAGCGUGAGUGACGGUAAUGGGUAAAAAAGCACCGGCUAACUACGUG
rnacentral:rRNA from 1 species